CGCUCCUUGUUUUACCAAAUAUAAGGAGUAGGACCUGCCCGGUGAGAUUUUUAACGGCCGCGGUACUCUGACCGUGCAAAGGUAGCAUAAUCAUUUGCCUUAUAAUUGAAGGCUUGUAUGAAUGGUUUGACGAAAUCGAUACUGUCUCUUUUUUACUUUGUAGAAUUUGACUUAAGGGUGAAGAGGCCCUUAUCUUACUGAAGGACAAGAAGACCCUGUCGAGCUUAAAGAAUAGGUGGAGAAUUAAUAUAAAACUAAAUAAAUAGAUUACUAGAUAAUUCUUUUGGUUGGGGCGACUAAGGAACAGAAAAAGCUUCCUUUAUUCUUUAUAUCUUACAGGUUAAAGAUCCAGCUAUGCUGAUUGUAGAAAUUAGUUACCGCAGGGAUAACAGCAUAAUCUCUCUUAAGAGACCAUAUCGAAAGGGGGGGUUGUGACCUCGAUGUUGGACUAGGAUAUCCUAAAGAUGUAGAAGUCUUUGAGGGUUGGUCUGUUCGACCAUUAAAAUCCU
rnacentral:rRNA from 1 species